GACGAACGCUGGCGGCGUGCUUAACACAUGCAAGUCGAGCGGUAAGGCCCUUCGGGGGUACACGAGCGGCGAACGGGUGAGUAACACGUGGGUGACCUGCCUCUAGCUCUGGGAUAAGCCUGGGAAACUGGGUCUAAUACCGGAUAUGGCUCCACGGCGCAUGUUGUGGGGUGGAAAGCCUCGUGUGGCUAGAGAUGGGCCCGCGGCCUAUCAGCUUGUUGGUGGGGUGAUGGCCUACCAAGGCGACGACGGGUAGCCGGCCUGAGAGGGCGACCGGCCACACUGGGACUGAGACACGGCCCAGACUCCUACGGGAGGCAGCAGUGGGGAAUCUUGCGCAAUGGGCGAAAGCCUGACGCAGCGACGCCGCGUGAGGGAUGACGGCCU
rnacentral:rRNA from 1 species